GCAGAAUUAUCCACGAGUUGUGCAGGCAGAGCCCCCGGAGCAAUGGCCAGUCCUUCCGGCAGCUCCGAAGACACUGGCAAGCCCCGAGGCAGGGAUGGCCGGCCCAGGAGGGAGGAGGACGACGUCCCUUCCGAGGGGAAGAGGCUGCGGCUGUUGCUGGAGGGGGGGAAGCGCACAGCCCGAGGACUGCGAGGACGGGGAGGACGCGCCGCGGCCGGGCAGGGAGGAGACCGGCACCCAGACAGGUGGCGACGGCAGAGGAGGCUUCCUCUGGGACUAGGAUCAGGAUGUGGACACCCCAACCUGGACCGUCUAGCCGGGAGGGAUCCAGGGCCAGGUACUCAAUGCCACCCUUUGUCACGAUGACCUCCCGUCCCGCUUCACCGCCAUCCGGAAUCCCAGUGGCCACUAAAAUAGAGGGAUUCCAACCUAAAAAGGAGGAGAGGAGGCUGCUGGAAAGCAAAGGACUCUGUGUAAGAAUCAUAAUAGUGGGGGUGGAGCCAAGAUGGCCAAAUAGGAAGAGCUCCAGUCUACAGCUCCCAGCAUGAGUGACACAGAAGACAGGUGAUUUCUGCAUUUCCAAAUGAGGUACUGGGUUCAUCUCAGUGGGGAGUGUCAGAAAGUGGGUGCAGGACAGUGGGUGCAGCACACUGAGCAUGAGCCCAAGCAGGGUGAGGCAUUGCCUCACCCGGGAAGUGCAAGGGGUCAGAGAAUUCCCUUUCCUAGUCAAAGAAAGGGUGACAGAUGGCACCUGGAAAAUCGGGUCACUCCCACCCUAAUACUGUGCUUUUCCAACAGUCUUAGCAAAUGGCACACCAGGAGAUUAUAUCCCGCACCUGGCUCAGAGGGUCCUACGUCCACGGAGCCUCACUCAUUGCUAGCACAGCAGUCUGAGAUCAAACUGCAAGGAGCAGCAAGGCUGGGAGGGGCGCUGCCAUUGCCUAGGCUUCAGUAGGUAAACAAAGUGCUGGGAAGCUCGAACUGGGUGGAGCCCACUGCAGCUUAAGGAGGCCUGCCUGCCUCUGUAGACUCCACCUCUGGGGGCAGGGCAUUGCCAAACAAAAGGCAGCAGAAUCCUGUGCAGACUUAAAUGUCCCUGUCUGACAGCUUUGAAGAGAGUAGUGGUUCUCCCAGCAUGCAGCUGGAGAUCUGAGAAUGGACAGACUGCCUCCUCAAGUGGGUCCCUGACCCCCAGUAGCCUAACUGGGAGGCACCCCCAGUAGGGGCAGACUGACACCUCACAUGGCUGGGUACUCCUCUGAGACAAAACUUCCAGAGGAAUCAGAUGGCAACAUUUGCUGCUCACCAAUAUCCACUGUUCUGCAGCCUCUGCUGCUGAUACCCAGGCAACAGGUCUGGAGUGGACCUCCAGCAAACUCCAACAGACCUGCAGCUGAGGGUCCUGACUGUUAGAAGGAAAACUAACAAAGAAAGGACAUCCACACAAAACCCCAUCUGUACGUCACCAUCAUCAAAGACCAAAGGUAGAUAAAACCACAAAGAUGGGGAAAAAACAGACACACAUAGGCUCAAAAUAAAGGGAUGGAGGAAGAUCUACCAAGCAAAUGGAAAACAAAAAAAAGGCAGGGUUGCAAUCCUAGUCUCUGAUAAAACAGACUUUAAACCAACAAAGAUCAAAAGAGACAAAGAAGGCCAUUACAUAAUGGUAAAGGGAUCAAUUCAACAAGAAGAGCUAACUAUCCUAAAUAUAUGCACCCAAUACAGGAGCACCCAGAUUCAUAAAGCAAGUCCUUAGAGACCUACAAAGAGACUUAGACUCCCACACGAUAAUAAUGGGAGAUUUAACACCCCACUGUCAACAUUAGACAGAUAACGAGACAGAAAGUUAACAAGGAUAUCAGGAAUUGAACUCAGCUCUGCACCAAGCGGACCUAAUAGACAUCUACAGAACUCUCCACCCCAAAUCAACAGAAUAUACAUUCUUCUCAGCACACACCACUUAUUCCAAAAUUGACCACAUAUUUGGAAGUGAAGCACUCCUCAGCAAAUGUAAAACAACAGAAAUUAUAACAAACUGUCUCAGACCACAGUGCAAUCAAACUAGAACUCAGGAUUAAGAAACUCACUCAAAACCACUCAACUACAUGGAAACUGAACAACUGCUCCUGAAUGACUACUGGGUACAUAACGAAAUGAAGGCAGAAAUAAAGAUGUUCUUUGAAACCAACGAGAACAAAGACACAACAUACCAGAAUCUCUGGGACACAUUCAAAGCAGUGUGUAGAGGGAAAUUUAUAGCACUAAAUGCCCACAAGAGAAACAGGAAAGAUCUAAAAUUGACACCCUAACAUCACAAUUAAAAGAACUAGAGAAGCAAGAGCAAACACAUUCAAAAGCUAGCAGAAGGCAAGAAAUAACUAAGAUCAGAGCAGAACUGAAGGAAAUAGAGACACAAAAAACCCUUCAAAAAUCCAUGAAUCCAGGAGCUGGUUUUUUGAAAAGAUCAACAAAAUUGAUAGACCACUAGCAAGACUAAUAAAGAAGAAAAGAGAGAAGAAUCAAAUAGACACAAUAAAAAUGAUAAAGGGGAUAUCACCACCAAUCCCACAGAAAUACAAACUACCAUCAGAGAAUACUAUAAACACCUAUGCAAAUAAACUAGAAAAUCUAGAAGAAAUGGAUAAAUUCCUCACACAUACACCCUCCCAAGACUAAACCAGGAAGUUGAAUCUCUGAAUAGACAAUAACAGGCUCUGAAAUUGAGGCAAUAAUUAAUAGCUUACCAACCAAAAAAGUCCAGGACCAGAUGGAUUCACAGCCGAAUUCUACCAGAGGUACAAGGAGGAGCUGUACCAUUCCUUCUGAAACUAUUCCAAACAAUAGAAAAAGAGGGAAUCCUCCUAACUCAUUUUAUGAGGCCAGCAUCAUCUGAUACCAAAGCCUGGCAGAGACAAAAAAAAAAAGAGAAUUUUAGACCAAUAUCCCUGAUGAACAUCGAUGCAAAAAUCCUCAAUAAAAUACUGGCAAACCGAAUCCAGCAGCACAUCAAAAAGCUUAUCGACCAUGAUCAAGUGGGCUUCCCCUGGGAUGCAAGGCUGGUUCAACAUAUUCAAAUCAAUAAACAUAAUCCAGCAUAUAAACAGAACCAAUGACAAAAACCAUAUGAUUAUCUCAUUAGAUGCAGAAAAGGCCUGUGACAAAAUUCAACAACCUUCAUGCUAAAAACUCUCAAUAAAUUAGUAUUGAUGGGACAUAUUCAAAAUAAUAAGAGCUAUCUAUGACAAACCCACAGCCAAUAUCAUACUGAAUGGGCAAAAACUGGAAAGCAUUCCCUUUGAAAACUGGCACAAGACAGGGAUGCCCUCUCUCACCACUCCUAUUCAACAUAGUGUUGGAAGUUCUGGCCAGGGCAAUCAGGCAGGAGAAGGAAAUAAAGGGUAUUCAAUUAGAAAAGAGGAAGUCAAAUUGUCCCUGUUUGCAGAUGACAUGAUUGUAUAUCUAGAAAACCCCAUUCUCAGCCCAAAAUCUCCUUAAGCUGAUAGGCAACUUCAGCAAAGUCUCAGGAUACAAAAUCAAUGUGCAAAAAUCACAAGCAUUCUUAUACACCAAUAACAGACAAACAGAGAGCCAAAUCAUGAGUGAACUCCCAUUCACAAUUGCUUCAAAGAGAAUAAAAUACCUAGGAAUCCAACUUACAAGGGAUGUGAAGGACCUCUUCAAGGAGAACUACAAACCACUGCUCAACGAAAUAAAAGAGGAUACAAACAAAUGGAAGAACAUUCCAUGCUCAUGGGUAGGAAGAAUCAAUAUUGAAAAUGGCCAUACUGCCAAGGUAAUUUAUAGAUUCAAUGCCAUCCCCAUCAAGCUACAAUGACUUUCUUCACAGAAUUGGAAAAAACUUUAAAGUUCAUAUGGAACCAAAAAAAGCCCACAUUGCCAAGUCAAUCCUAAGCCAAAAGAACAAAGCUGGAGGCAUCACACUACCUGACUUCAAACUAUACUACAAGGCUACAGUAACCAAAACAGCAUGGUACUGGUACAAAAACAGAGAUAUAGACCAAUGGAACAGAAUAGAGCCCUCAGAAAUAAUGCCACACAUCUACAACUAUCUGAUCUUUGACAAACCUGAGAAAAACAAGAAUGGGGAAAGGAUUCCCUAUUUAAUAAAUGGUGCUGGGAAAACUGGCUAGCCAUAUGGAGAAAGCUGAAACUGGAUCCCUUCCUUACACCUUAUACAAAAAUUAAUUCAAGAUGGAUUAAAGACUUAAAUGUUAGACCUAAAACCAUAAAAACCCUAGAAGAAAACCUAGCAAUACCAUUCAGGACAUAGGCAUGGGCAAGGACUUCAUGUCUAAAACACCAAAAGCAAUGGCAACAAAAGCCAAAAUUAACAAAUGGGAUCUAAUUAAACUCAAGAGCUUCUGCACAGCAAAAGAAACUACCAUCAGAGUGAACAGGCAACCUACAGAAUGGGAGAAAAUUUUUGCAAUCUAUCAUCUGACAAAGGGCUAAUAUCAGAAUCUACAAUGAACUCCAAAAUUUACAAGAAAAAAACAAACCCCAUCAAAAGUGGGCAAAGGAUAUGAACAACACACUCAAAAGAAGACAUUUAUGCAGCCAAAAGACACAUGAAAAAAUGCUCAUCAUCACUGGCCAGAGAAAUGCAAAUCAAAACCACAAUGAGAUACCAUCUCACACCAGUUAGAAUGGCGAUCAUUAACAAGUCAGGAAACAACAGGUGCUGGAGAGGAUGUGGAGAAAUAGGAACACUUUUACACUGUUGGUGG
rnacentral:sRNA from 1 species